GCGUCAGUGGUGUAAUGGUUAGCAUCUAAGCUUCCCACUUCGGUGGCUGUGGUCCGUCACAGACAAUGCUUAGGACCCUGGUUCGAUUCCUGGCUGACGCA
rnacentral:tRNA from 1 species